AUGAUUAAAAAUGCACAACGUAAUAAGCUACUGGUUGGCUUAGCUGUGGAUCUGAUCCCUGAUGGAGUUGCGGUUCUCCAAUAUGUGGAUGACACAAUUAUCUGUCUCGAGCAUGACAUUGACAAAGCAGUUAACCUGAAGUUGCUGAUGUACAUGUUUGAAAUGAUGUCAGGGUUGAAAGUUAAUUUUCAAAAAAAGUGA
rnacentral:rRNA from 1 species